rnacentral:misc_RNA from 1 species
UGCGGGAGAGUAGGUUAUUGCCAGGGUUUUUAUUUUUAUACUUUAAACUUUGAUUUUAUUUUUAUGUUUUUUAAAUAUUGGUGUUUUUGAAUGUGUUGUUUAAAUAACAUAAAAAAUAAAAUAUAUAUUGACAUGUAUUAAACAAAGAUAUAUAUUAUUUUAUGUUGUAUAAAUAAAUUGGCAAAAUAGAGAUGGAAGAUAAAAAUAUGGUCAAAGUAAUAAGAGUCUAUGGUGAAUGCCUA